rnacentral:lncRNA from 1 species
GUGUGUGAUAGUGUUAUACUAGAUUGUGUUAUUUAAAAUAUUUAUAUUAAGAGUUUCUGGUCUCUGCUAGCAGCACUGUGAUUAGAGCACAAAUUGUAACCAAUAUAUAGCAAACUUAAGAGUUGAGUCAACUGUAUGAAAGUUAUAUUCAUCUUAUAUAUGAUAUAGUAUAUAUGCAAGUACAAACAAAACUGUGUCCAUGUACGGAGUUAGUAAUGCCAGAGUGAGAAAGGGUGUAUACAAAUUUGAAACGUUUUUUAUUAUUAUUAUUAUUGUAUUAUGUCAUAUUGCUGUCUGCAUUUCCAGUGACCAGACCAAAAUUUUUCAAAUUUUAUAUUUGGGCGGGGGAUGUUAUAUACCUCUAUUUGGUAUUUCUGGUUACCGGAAAUGUAGGACAUAAUUUAGCCUGUUUAUUGUAUUUUACGGGACUGUAUACCUUUUUAUGCUUGUCGGCGGCGAACAGUUAGUGUCGUCUGUCACCCAUGUGUUUUGUUAGAUGGCAGUAAAAUAAAAUUUGGAAAACGAAAAGCGUGACUUCAAUCCCAUAGUCCCCCCAGACAACAAAAAGGAUUGAGGCCCACGACACAAGGGA